UCAAGUGAAUAAAAAUGUAUAAAGUCAACUAGAAUGACACAAAGAGCAUGAACCAAAUGGGCCAGAUGGCUUCGGGCAGAAUAUGACUCGAUCUGACAUAGGGUAUUUCCUUAGGGCCUCGGUUUAUGGAACCCAAGUUCUCAAGAAUAUCAAACCAUAUAUCAUCAUUUCUUAUGAAAAUAUGCAUCGGUGGCCUAUAUGCUUCCAUCUCUUACCACCACCUGGACAUUCUAGGCUGACUUGGUCAACAUUUUAAUGGCAGGUCAAGGCAAGGACCUCCACUCAUGUCGGCGCCAUUCCCACGGAAGAGCUUGGUUUCAUCUUUGCGAUCAUCAUUCAUAGUGUCACCCAGAGUAAUUAUUAGUGGACACUUGGCUGCUACAAGAAACACACACACUCUGUCAUCGUCCCAGGGAAGCCACGGAACCAAGAGGUGGGGAAAACAAUGCUGAUUUACUCUCUUUGAAGAAUAGCAGAGGGGAAAGGAAGUUAGCUCCACCGGGUGGAUUUUCAGCCUCUCGGAUUUUCAGUCCAUGCUGAAGAUUUUAAGAUUUUAUUGUUUUAUGUUCAUUGUAUUGUAAUUCCACAUUGUAUUGUAUUAUAUUGUAAUUUUUCAUUUCCAAUAUAUACAGUACAUAUUGUAUUUGUUAUUUUGUAAACUGAAUAGAGUAGGGCUGCCACAUGUCCGGAUGUUACUGGGAUUUCAAAGGCGGAAUUGAUGUCUAGGGGGGAUUUCUGAUAGGUGGCACUUUUAGGCAA
rnacentral:lncRNA from 1 species